rnacentral:lncRNA from 1 species
CCUCCUCCCUGCUAUGCAGUCAGUGAAUGCUGCUGUCACCAAUCUGGGGCUAAGCAAGGAGAUAUACGUGACCACGGCCCACUCAUUCGCCAUCCUCAGCAGCUCGUUCCCGCCCUCUGCAGGUGCAUUCAGGCAGGACCUUGCAGAGUACAUCCAAAGCAUUCUCAAUUUCCACACACAGACUCACUCACCCUUCCUCAUAAAUGCUUACCCCUUCUUUGCUUAUAAGGACAGCCCUGACGAGAUCUCACUUAGCUACGCGCUCUUCCAGCCUAGCCAGGGAAUGGUAGACUCCAACACGAACUUGCACUAUGACAACAUGUUGUAUGCACAGAUUGAUGCUGUUUAUGCAGCCAUCAAGGCAAUGGGGCAUACUGAUAUUCAAGUUAAG